AGGAAAAUGAAAAUGUGCUUCCGGUUUGUUCUUCUUUCAAGGGUGUCCUCUACCCCUCACCCAGAGCCAGCGCAUGGAACAAUGUCAACCCACAGUCUCAUCUGGGAGAAGAUUUGACAUGAGGGACCUGAAGCACAGAGAAUUUCAAUGAGUUUCCCAAGAUAAAGCAACGCAUGAAGACAGCUAAGAAAGAUCUAGAGACCAAGGCCUGGAAUCUGUUCACUGUAAGAUGCCCCCGCUUGUGUACUCAACAUGGAAUAGUAAGCACAGUAGAGGCAGGGAGGUACAAAAGGG